GACGAACGCUGGCGGCGUGCUUAACACAUGCAAGUCGAACGAAGAGCGAUGGACGCUUGCUUCUAUCACUCUUAGUGGCGAACGGGUGAGUAACGCGUAAUCAACCUGCCCUUCAGAGGGGAACAACAGUUGGAAACGACUGCUAAUACCGCAUACGAUCUAAUCUCGGCAUCGAGGAUAGAUGAAAGGUGGCCUCUACAUGUAAGCUAUCACUGAAGGAGGGGAUUGCGUCUGAUUAGCUAGUUGGAGGGGUAACGGCCCACCAAGGCGAUGAUCAGUAGCCGGUCUGAGAGGAUGAACGGCCACAUUGGGACUGAGACACGGCCCAGACUCCUACGGGAGGCAGCAGUGGGGAAUCUUCCGCAAUGGACGAAAGUCUGACGGAGCAACGCCGCGUGAGUGAUGACGGCCUUCGGGUUGUAAAGCUCUGUUAAUCGGGACGAAAGGCCUUCUUGCGAAUAGUGAGAAGGAUUGACGGUACCGGAAUAGAAAGCCACGGCUAACUACGUG
rnacentral:rRNA from 1 species